AACUCUCCCGUCUUGAUUUAAAAAGUUGUCCUUGACGGAGAAUCCACCACGACCCUGGGUAAAUUGUUCCAAGGUUAAUUCUCCUCACGGUUAAAAAUGUAUGUCUUAUUUCCUGCCUAAAUCUGUCUAGCUUCACCUCCCAGCAAUAGUUCGCGCCAGACCUUUCUCUGCUAGACUGACUGACUCUUAUGAAAUGCUGGUUGUUCCCCAGGUAGGUAAUUACAGACUGGGAUCAAGGCACCCUGGAGCUUCUCUUCGUUAAGGAGUCUCAGCGAGCGGCUGCCAGGACGAGGCGGAGGUGGGGGAAGAUCUGGGGCUUUCCUGACGGAUAAAUCACAGACAGAUUCGAAGAAGGGACACUGUUCCAUGCCGCCAAAGGAAGAAAGGUGGUCAUCGUGCACACCAAGGAACAAGCCCCACAACUCUUGGAAAUGUACCAUGACAGUCCCCGCGGUGGACAUCAAGGAGUUGUCAACAUGAGAACGGUGCUUACCUCAAGGUACUAUUGGCCUGGGAUGACAAAAGACAUCGUUGAAUGGGUCUGUAAUGUAAUUAAACCACACCCUGACCUGUGUCAUUUAAAAUUUCCGAACCACCAAAACAGAAAAUCAACCUUCUGCUGGUGACAUUUGACUCAGAUGAUGGAAAUGAACAUGCGUCGGUCUUCACUGCUUUGGAUUGUUAUCGAGCAGAGCCCGUCAUCAGCAUGGA